rnacentral:misc_RNA from 1 species
GAUGAAGAACGCAGCGAAAUGCGAUAACUAAUGUGAAUUGCAGAAUUCCGUGAAUCAUCGAGUCUUUGAACGCACAUUGCGCCCCCUGGUAUUCCGGGGGGCAUGCCUGUCCGAGCGUCAUUGCUGCCCAUCAAGCACGGCUUGUGUGUUGGGUCCCGUCCCCCUCUCCCGGGGGACGGACCCGAAAGGCAGCGGCGGCACCGCGUCCGGUCCUCGAGCGUAUGGGGCUUUGUCACCCGCUCUUGUAGGCCCGGCCGGCGCUUGCCGACACCCAACCAUUUUUUUCAGGUUGACCUCGGAUCAGGUAGGGAUACCCGCUGAACUUAAGCAUAUCAAUAAGGGAGGA